rnacentral:rRNA from 1 species
AUUGAACGCUGGCGGAAUGCUUUACACAUGCAAGUCGAACGGCAGCACGGGAGCUUGCUCCUGGUGGCGAGUGGCGAACGGGUGAGUAAUGCGUCGGAACGUACCGAGUAAUGGGGGAUAACGCACCGAAAGGUGUGCUAAUACCGCAUACGCCCUGAGGGGGAAAGUGGGGGAUCGCAAGACCUCACGUUAUUCGAGCGGCCGACGUCUGAUUAGCUUGUUGGUGAGGUAAUGGCUCACCAAGGCGACGAUCAGUAACGGGUCUGAGAGGAUGAUCCGCCACACUGGAACUGAGACACGGUCCAGACUCCUACGGGAGGCAGCAGUGGGGAAUUUUGGACAAUGGGGGAAACCCUGAUCCAGCCAUUCCGCGUGAGUGAAGAAGGCCUUCGGGUUGUAAAGCUCUUUCAGCUGGAACGAAACGGUACG